rnacentral:tRNA from 1 species
GGAGGCGUCGCAUAGCGGUCUAGUGCACCGCCUUGGAAAGGCGGCAUGGGGCAACCCAUCGUGAGUUCGAAUCUCACCGCCUCCG